AUUGAAGUUUAACAUUUAUAAGUGAUAAAAUUUUCACACGAACUAGUCUAACAAAAUUUAAAAAAGGAUGACUCUUGCUAACGUAAGUAAGCGCGGAUCAAAUAAAAAAAAGUGAGAAAUAUUAGUAAACCUAUGUAAAGGAGUUAAAGGUGUUAAAAACAUUAGAAUAAAAGAACCCGGGUAAUGGGACGUAAAGAAGUAUAGGUAAGAACCGGUUAACAGUAAGUGUAGGGCAAAUCGACGUGUAAUUGACGUUAGAAGUCAAGGAGUCGGAAGGAUAAUUCGAAAGAAAACAAUGUAGCCUUAGACGGUCAAGGUCAAACGAAAUCCAAAAAGUAAAGGUGAAUAAUUCUAAAACAUAAGAGGGGGUGCCUUAAUGCCAUAUGCGUAUAUAAAUGUAUACAUAUUUGAAUAAAGACUUGAAUAAAAGAUGAUCUACGGGAUCAUCAUAACCUGCGGGAUAUGAAUUAAAGCAAAAGGAUCAUAAGGGUCUCACCUUAAAGAGGUGAAAACAUAAGGAAAUAGCCUACGAGGUUAAGUGAAGGAACCUACGGGUCAAUAGUGUAAGGUGAGGGAAUUUGUUACGAUUCCCCGCAUAAAGUAAGAACGGAAAACAAUAAAUUCUGAGUUAUCAAUUUCCUUGAUAUGGAUAAUUGACAAAAGUUAAAAGGAAAAUGCUAAACUAAAACUCCGGUUUUUGCAAGAAAUGACGUUUUUUACGAAUAUGAAUUCUGAUAGACGAAUAUGUAAUAGGCAUGAAAGAUAUAAGUCUUGACACUGAUAAGUGCAAGACGAUACAUUUGAAAAGAAAGGUUGGAAUAGACCUAAACAUGACGUGACGCGAUCACGGUCAAGAGAAGUAAUGUGAAGUAAUCAUAUUAUGACCCGAGUGAUGGGUACAAAGUAACUGGACUGAUAAGUCUAGUUAGUGAGAUCGGUUAAGGUCGAAACCCAAAUUAAGAAAUUGUUUAACACGUUAUUCGCUACGAAGAGUAAUGUAGAAUAAACAUAAUUUAUAAACCUAUGUGACUAAGUGGCCAACGUUUGGCGACUCGGUCAAGUAAACAACAAAGGUAUAUAGAUCCAAGAGAUAAAGUGACGGCCCAUGAGACCUCACUAACAGAAAAUAUUGAUCACUUAUUUGAGGGAUCAUAAAGCUAUAAGUUCAUGAACAAAAGAAUAGUUGCUAAAAGUGAAAGAUUUCACCAAGGACCUUUAAACGGGUCAAAAUGACGGAUUCAUAAAUAAUUUGAUAGUAUAUGAAAGCGAUGAAUAUCGCUAAGUUAACGGGACUAGUGGAAAUAACGAGGUUACGUUAUUUCAAGAUUGCACUAUGUAGUAUGAGAUACGUAGACAAUUAGUAACCAAAAGGAUAUUGCCAUACUUUUCUGGUAAUACUAACAAUUGGUCAAAGUAAAAGUAACGAUUAAAAGAUUUCUCGGAUCAAAUGCAUUGAGUUUGAACUCGAUGAAUUAAGCAAGAAAAGGUUUCGAGGACGAAACCUCUUUAAGGGGGGUAGACUUGUAACACCCCGAAAACAGGAUUGGAAAUUAAACCCCGUUAAUACUAAAGACGGGGAAAGUACCGUUAGCGGUAAAAGUAAACCGAAAAAUAUUAGGAAUCAAGUAAAUAAUCCUAAUAUUAAUUAAAAGUAAAUAAGAGCUUCCAGGAAAAUAGAAUGGAUAAAAGGCCCGAUUUAACGGGACUUAAAAUAAAACGGGUUUUAACUCCCGGAACCCACUAAGUUAACUAGGUAAAAUUAACCUAGUUAGUAAUGAGUAACUAAAUAAUAAAUUAUGGGUUAUAGUUUCAUUUAUGAAUCUCUAAACUUGAGGGGCUAAACAUGGACAACUAGAGAAGUGUUUUAUUAAAACACUUAAAUAAAAAAAAACACAUACAUGUGUGUACGUAUGCGAUCAGAAGAAGGAGCCAGGAGAGCUCAAACCCUAGUUCAACAAAUCCUCCAAAUCGAAGCUCAAAUCAAGCCCGAAUCGUCUGCAUGAUUACAAAUUCGUGAUCGCCUAGUCGUGGGGAUCAUAAGUUCACUCUAAACAAGCUAGGUGGGAGCUUGAAAAGGAACGGGUCAAACGGAUCAUGGAUGCGAAGAAUGUUUGCGCGGACGAGAGGUAAGUAAAGCUUACACUUUUUUUAGGAUACGUAUUUACUUUAUAGAUUAUAAACACGACCAAGGUUAUAUCCGAAAUAUGGGUUCCGACACGAAAUGAUACGGGUCGGGACGAAUAAAAGGAUAAAAACCAUGUUUAAUGGCAAAAAGGGGCGAAAUGGGUUAAAUAAUGAAAUGGUAAAUAAAUACCAUUCAAAUAUAAGUGCAAAAUGUUUGGUCGUUUAGACUAAACAGGUCAAAUGGUAAUGUUAACACCAUUUGACGAAUAACGACUAACAAGUGCAUGUCGAGUCUAAUGCUCACAGGGUAAAACGGCUUAUGGAAUUUACGUAGCUAUGAAUCAGCAAAUUAUUAAGGCAAGGUAUUAAAACGGGUCAAUACUUUGACCCGCGCCAGGUUCAUUUUGGAUGCCGGAAGACGAUCAAGUUCGACGAAGGACCGAACACGAUAUAGAUACAUGCUUCCGCACUUUAACACAUUGCAAAUUUUAAACAACGAAUUCAACCAUGUUAUGUAGAAUAACUUAUGAAUUGUAAAAGUUUUAAUAAAUUCGUAUUUUUAU